rnacentral:lncRNA from 1 species
CCACUCACAGGAUGCUGCAGCCCUGCCCCCUCUUAAGGUCUUGGCCUUCUAGUGGCCUUCAUCUCCCCUGCACAUUGUGGCCUUGGGGAUGAGGAGCUUGUGACUUACCCAGCUGCCCUCGGACCUUAAGAAAGCUAAACACCAUUUUAUAUUUGACAAUGCUUUUUGUAUGAUUUUGUACCAGAAGUUCCAGGGACCAAAUCUCAAAACAAACAAAGCACCCUCUGGAAUUCUCCCCCACCGGGAGACUGCCUCAAAACAGCAAUUAAUUAACAACCCACUUCUGUCCACGAAGGCACUGACCAGACCAUCAGACCACAGCAUCACUUAAGUGUUGCUGGGGAUCUGCUCUGUUUAGACUUGGCUGCCGGUGGCACCAUUUUGGCGUUUAACACAUUUGUAUAUGUGGCACCAUUGGGGCUUUGGCACCAUUUGGACUUAGCUGCCUGUGGAGCUGUUUGGAACUGAGUUAUAGGGCUUUGACUCCUGGAUACACAUAUCUCAUCUAAAGAAGACACUGACUCCUGCCAGUAUCUGACACCAGACUCAAGUUAACCAAAGUCUUCUCUUUAGACUCAGGCAAAGGCAACAAUCAAAAUAAACUGCUUUCAUGAGACACAGGGAAAGGGUGCCCUGCCCUUCCAGCCUGGUGCCUUGCCCCUUGAGGCAUAAUAUUUCUGAAAACUGUCCAAAGGACCUGCAUAUUGUUAAGAACAGCUGCAAAAUGUACCAGAGAGAAAGAUCAGCCUUGGAUCAAAUGCUGCAUGAGAGACAUGUAAGAGUUUUAAUCAUGGAGUGCAGUAGACUAGCUGGGACGUCUGUGACAGCUUGAUUUCUUCCACAUCUCAGAUUUCCACAGUGUACCCCGGUGUUUUCUCACCUUCAGUCACUCAUAGGCAUCUUAGGUGAGUGUUGUUGCCCUAUGUGGGCACCAGAAAAGCUAGUACUUACUUAAAUGUUUUACUUUAAAUAUAAUUUAAUUUUUAAUUUUUGAUUCACUCUUGAAAACCUUAAGUACCUAAUGGAACCCUCAUCCUAAGCAAAAAUAGCCACAAAUCACGGCCUGAUGUAACAGAUUUAUGUGAGCAGUGACCCUAGAACCAGACUAGGUAUCUGAAUCAUGGCUUCACUCACUACUUGCUAGCUGGCUAAUCUGGUGAGCAGUUUAUUCUCAUUUUGCCUUGGUUUAAUAAUUUUUUAAAUGGAGAUAACAAUCAUACCUAAUUCAUAGAGGUGUUUUGAGGAUUAAUUGAGGUGCUUAAUUAUACAAUUUCACAAAUGACCAUGCAGCCUCACAUUUCCUACUUGACUCACUUUCAUAUUUUUUUAUUCACAAGGGAGAGAGAGUGAUUGUUCUCCUCUGGCAGCAUGUAAUAAAGAUAGAGCAUCUUCUUGUGAAAACAAUACACGUACCAUGUUUCUAUGUACCUAUAUGUGCUUCCAUCAAUAAGCCUAUGUUGGUUGCUGCAUGUAUGAGCCCUGGGCCAGGAAAUGUGCCAGGAGAGUGUGUCUUUCACUCAGCAGACAGAUUUUCUUCCUUGGCCUAAUAUAUCUUAUUCCUAGAUACCAGAGCAAAUAAUAAUGUAAUAAGCAUUACCAUGUAUUAAGUACCUACUCUGGACCCAACCCAAGAACAAGCAGUAUGAAGGUGAUAAGCAGGGGCACCAUGGUGUAAUUCACAUUUUCAUCAUCAGAUCACUCUGGCUGCUGGGUGGAGAAUGUUUAUAGGAGAAAAAAGGUGAAAGCAGGGAGACAGGACACUAAUGCAAUAUCCCAGGUUUAAGAUGAUAGAGAUUAUCUUAAGCAUGUCAGAGAAAAAAAAUUAAAGGUUUGGGAAUGUGUUUCUGAGGCGGAGUCAACAGGAUUUGCUGAUAAAUUGACUAUUUGGAGUUGAAGAAAAAGAAUAAAACAGUCUAUAUAUAACCAAGUACCUCUUUUUUAAAGAAUCAAAUGAAUUAUUUUUUCCUUUUUCCUUUCCUCACACCUCCUACUUAGCUCUUUGGGAAUGCAAUUAUAAACUUUACCUUCUCUCCACCAGACACUCCCUACACAGCAAGCUUAUCUAACUACAUGUUUACUUAGAAGUUACAGAGACCGAACCUUAAAGCAAACCAGGAACCUCCAGAACUCUCUCCUACCAGGAGGCAAAUUGAGAUUGCCUCAACUUACAACCUAGCUCUGCCCGUGACGGUGCCAGCCAGACCACCUGAUAGAUAAGACAUCCGAAGCAAGUCACAUAGACUCUGCACUUCAUCGCCCUCUCCCCUGCAUGCCAUUCACGCCAAGCCCCACUUUCAAAGCUCCUGCCUUCUGCCCCAAAGGCUUUAGUGGCUUCCUCAAGGCAGCCUGUACUACUUCCCCUCAACUAGCUCUGGAAUAAAGCCACUUUCUUUCUACCAGACGUCGUUCUUGUUCACUGGACUUUGCAACUGGUGAGCAGUCGGAGCUGUGUUCAGUUACAUGUAUGCCUUGCCUCAUUGAACUCUCAUGAAAACCCUAUGAUCGAGACACUGUUGUUAUCUCCAUUUUAUAGGUGAGGAAGCUGAGAACCAGAUAGAUUCAUCCAGUGUCCUAGGACACACAGUGAGUCAUGCUUCGGAUCUGUGCUCCUAGCUGAUGCCUCCCAUUACUGGUAGUCCUUUCCUGCUCCCCACAAUGUACAUUUAUUCAUUUCUUUUUCUAUUUUCUUAUUAUCUUUCUAUUUUUCUUCUUCUUCCUCUCUCUUCUCUCACUAGGGAUAGAACGCAAGGAUCUCACUUAGCCCAGUGGAUGGCAGUCAAUUAAUGGAGCGAGUGGCUUAGUCCUUGUCAUGCUGCCAAGUGCAAGGGCCUUUCCAUGCUCAGAAUCACCAUGAAGACGAGAGCUAUCUCUCUUGGUAGGCUACAGACUCAAAGGGUCUGCAUAUUUAUAUAUGCUGCCAAAAAAACCUCAAAUAACCAAUAGAUAUAAAUAGAUACAGAAAGUUUUUAAAAGAACAUUUAAAAAUAAAAUUUUUAAAAAUAUUUUUAAAAAACAAAAUAAAGUAUAUAACAUCACUUAAGAGCACACACACAAUCUCUAGAAAAAUUAAGGAUUCAUGAGUUGUCCACCCUCAAAAGACAUCUCCAUGCCCUUCCUCAUGACAGACUCUCUUAGCGCUUUCCUUUCUUUCAUUUUCAUUUUAUUUCUUAUUUUAUUAUUUAUUUUAAAGAAAAGGGGCCUCUGUCUGUUGCCCAGGCUGGAGUGCUGCCAUGUGAUUCUAGCUCACCACAGCCUCAAACUCCUGGGUUCAAGUGAUCCUCCCAUCUCAGCCUCCUGAGUAGCUGGGACUAGUGCAGGAGCCACUGCACCAGGCUCUUCAGGGUUUUUCUUCGUAAUUGGGCUUAUUGGGGUCAGUGGUAGGAAGGCUGUGUAGUUACAAGGCUCUGUGGAGCAGAAGUGGCCCCACAUCCAGUAAGCUGCAUAUCCUUAAAUCCCAAAUCUCCAUCCCAAGAUUGGAGAUUUUUGGCAGGUAUGCCCUUACUGGUGCUCUUCCUAUACCAUCCCCGAUUUUAUUUAUUUAUUUAUUUUUUGCUUGUCCUUAUAGCACUCCAUUUUGCCAUGAGUACAGGUUUCUCUUGCAUAGCCAAAGAUAUUCAGUCUCAGGCUAACAGAUUCAGCCUCGUGUUUAUUCUGUGUUGACUUUCUCAAAGGGUGCGUUAGAUUUCUUGCAGAGCACAUCUUACCACCCAGAAUGCUCUGCAUGCCCAUCUCCAAGAUCCCGAUCCCAGCACUGAAGAGAGCAUGGCAGCUCUGCUUUCAGUGCCUUUGCUGGAACUCUGAACAAGCAGCCCCCAGUCAAUCAUUUCUGCUUAAUUAAUAGCCCGCGCCCUGUGCAUGCUGCCAAAUAUGGAGGGUCAGGCCAUGAGAUAUUCUCCAAACUUUUACUCAAGGCGUCCUAUGGUCACCGUGAGAUCUCACCUCCCCUCUGAGCCCCCAAAUCAGCUUUCCUCAGGGUAAUAACUAGGCCCGAGUAGGGUGUAGUCAGCAAAGCUGCAAGCUGGGGCCCCAUGUUGCAUACAUAUAUGCCUCCUAUUGGCCCUUUUCUUCUCCACACUGCCCCUGUGUUUUGGCCACCCCACUCCACCCUCAACUGCCACCCCCACCCACGACCCAUACCACACCCCUCACCCCCACCCACAACCCCUACCCCCACCACGCACCCUCCAC